rnacentral:lncRNA from 1 species
CCCAAGUGGGCCCAGAUGACACAUUUGGUGAAGAAGUCCUGGGCCAGACAUAAUAGGUCCCAGGGUUCCAAUGGGAAUGUGGCUAAGGUGAGCCAUUAAUGCUGGCAUCUCCCUCAGGUGUAUCCCCUUCAGCCGUUUGGAGCAAGGGAUGGAGAGACUUCGAAUAGUCUCUUCGGGGGCGGUGGUGAAGAGGAGGCCCCUGCCCAUGGCACCUUUCAGAAGUAGAGCUGACAGACCUCGGUACCUGCUUGGAUGUGGGGCAGAAUGGAGAACAAAGUCAGUUU